CCUACGGGAGGCUGCAGUGAGGAAUAUUGGUCAAUGGGCGAGAGCCUGAACCAGCCAAGUCGCGUGAAGGACGAAGGUGCCAAGCAUUGUAAACUUCUUUUGUCAAGGGACAAAAUCAGGCUCGAGAGCCUGACCGAGGGUACUUGAAGAAAAAGCAUCGGCUAACUCCGUGCCAGCAGCCGCGGUAAUACGGAGGAUGCGAGCGUUAUCCGGAUUUAUUGGGUUUAAAGGGUGCGUAGGCGGACUAUUAAGUCAGCGGUAAAAGCCCGGGGCUCAACCCCGGCGAGCCGUUGAACCUGGCUGUCUUGAGAUGUCGAGAGGUAUGCGGAAUGCGCAGUGUAGCGGUGAAAUGCUUAGAUAUUGCGCAGAACUCCGAUUGCGAAGGCAGCAUACCGGCGGCGAUCUGACGCUGAGGCACGAAAGCGUGGGUAUCGAACAGGAUUAGAUACCCUAGUAGUC
rnacentral:rRNA from 1 species